UGGAUAUAACUGUACUUCAAUUGAUAAUUAAAAUGAUAAUUUAAUAAUUUAUUUUAACAAUAAAUUAAAUAAUUUGAAAAUAAAUUGAUUAAAUAAAAUUAUAUAAUUUUUACUGGAAAUGAGCUUUUACUUCAAUCCAAAACUUACUUCAAUCUCGAUUUUAAAAAACCUAUAACAAAUCAAAAACACAUUAAUUAUUUUAUAUAAAUUUUAAAUUAUUUAAAAACAUAAAUUAAUUAAUUAUUUUAAUUAUUUUUUAAAUUAUUUAAAAAUAGAAAAUAAUUAAAACAAAUUUAUUUCAUGCAAAUAAUUAAUUAAGAUAUAGAUUCAUGUAAAUUGUUAAUUAAAUUGAUAUUUAAUUACAAUUAUUUAAAUAAUUUAAAAAUAAGUUGAUUAAAUAAAAAAUUUAAUUAUUUUCAAACAGAAAAUAAUUAUAUAAUAAAAUAAUUAUUUCUUUAAAUUCUUUCUAAUAUAUAAAUUAAAAUAAUAUAAAAACAGUAAUUAAAUAAUUCAUUUUAAUUACUAGAUAUUUUUCCAGAUUUAAUGAAUUUGCAUGCUUAAAGUAACCUCCAAAAUAUCCAACGAAUUCAUUCUGCUUAAUUUAUAAUUUCGUAUUCAAAUUUAUAAUAUCAUAUGUUUUGAUAAAAUCCAAACCAAGUAAAGAUAAUCUUAAAUCGUAAGAAGGAAUCAUAAAAAAUAUCUACAACUUUACACGAUACCUAAAGAUUUACUUAUUGCAUUGAAAUGUAGGUGAAAGUUUGGCAUGAUCCCUAUAAUAACUCAUACUUUGAACUAAAACAAUUCAUACAAUCAUAGGUUGAAUCCUGAAAAUUAUUUUUAAAUUCUAAACAAUUUUCUAAAUUUAAAAAUCUUGUGGAACAACAACCUAUCUUAUAAUAUUGGAUUGAUAUCAAACUAAAGAUACUCUACAACAACCUAUCUUAUAAAAUAAACUUAAGAAGACUCCACAAAAUCCUCAUCAAAUGAAACAAAUCACCAAAAAGCAAAAGCUUAAUACAUUCAUAAAUUAAUUACCAAAAAAAUUACAGCAAAUACAUUCAUAAAAUCUCCCCUAAUUACAAUAAACACAAUUAUAAAACCCUACAAAAUCACAGUACAUACAAAUAUACAAUCAUACCCCCCCAGAUCAUGACAAAUACAUUCAACUACAUUACUGACAUACUGGCAUUACAACAACCAAAUUAACAAAAAAAAAACAAUGUAAACAAUAACAAAAAAUACAACAACCACAUUGUAAAUAAGAUAAACAAACAAUGAAGGAGAAACAACAUGAAUACAAAGAAACAAAAUACCUACGGUCACUUAACGAUGGAGGAGAAACAUUGCUGAUGAUGGGACACCAAUGAUGACCGGUGAGGCGAGGGGCAGCGCACGGCGAAGCGAGGGGCAGCGCACGGCGAAGCGAGACCGACCGGCGGGAGAGAACGGCGGUGAGAAAUCGGGAGUCGGCGGUCUCUCUGGAUUUUGCGAAUGUGGUUGCGGUCUGUCUGGAUUUGGGGUUUUUAUUAAACCCCAACUUUUACAUGGCGGAUUUCCGCCAUUUAAGUGCACUUAAGUUCCGCCCGGACUUAAGUGAAAGUCCGCCCAAUCGAAAUUUGGGCGGGCUUUUUCCGCCCGAGUCCCCGAAUACUUAACAUGGCGGAUGUUAAGUCAAUUUAAUCGGGUAAUCGGGCUGAAUAUUGGGGGCCAUUCGAAAUUUUGGGCAGGAUAGUUUAGAUUGAGGAUUUCCGCCAUCUAAACACCGCCAUCGAAAGUAAUUUCGAACCGCCGUCGAGCCAAAACUUUUCCUCGGCGGACUCAAUGAAUAGAUGGCGGACAUCCGCCAUCUAAACAACUGGAUUACUGAUGGCGGAUUUCCGCCAUCUAAAGACCGCCCGCUAUACAAGGUCCUUUUUUUUGUAGUGUCAACUCCAUAUUGUUAAUUCUGUUUUAAACAGAUUAAUAAAUCACAUUGUUAAUUUCAUUGCUUCUUAGUGUCAUUUUGUAAUCAAUUCAAUACUAAAAAUUCUGCUUCAAGCAAAUUUAUAUUCUUUCUAUUUCAUUGUGUUUAAAUUUCUGUUAUUUUCUUCUCGUUUUAAAUCAAAUGAAUAAACUAAUUUCUACUAUAUUCUUGUGAGAUUUUAUUACUAUCUACAUCUCAUAGUAUUAAUUUAAUCUAGACAGAUAAAUUCUGAUUCUUUACAUGGUAUCAGUUUAGCUAUGGUUUAAUUCUGGGAUUCUCAUAGUUCUCUUAGUUUAACACUACUUUCUGCGAAUUCACUCUUAAAGGUUGAGAUGGCUACUCUACCUACACAUACAACUGUAGUUACAUCUCAACAAACACACUUAGGACAUGUAUCCUACAAUAUUUUCAGCAUGGUUCCUGACAGGCUAGAGAGGGGAAAUUACUUGACAUGGAAGAAUCAAUUUGAGUGUGCCCUGAGGGUACACAAAUUUAUGAAGUAUGUAAAUGGAACUACUUCCUGUCCAGCCCCUAGAGUGGAAAAUGACAUGGCAAACCCUGAGUAUGAUGAAUGGGUGGCCAAUGAUAAUUUGGUGUUAGGAUGGAUUAAAGCUACAGUCAACAACCAAUAUCAGCUCAUGCUUCAAAAGUGUGAGUUUGCGUAUGAUGGUUUGACUAGUUUGGAGAAAUUACUGUCACCAACAAGCAAUACUCAGGUGACAGUAAUAAAAGAACAACUCAGGACUCUGAAGAAGUCAGGCACAGAGACAAUGCAAGAGUACAUUGUCAAGGUUAAAGGUUUGGUAGAGUCUUUGGAAGCCACUGGAGAAAAUCUGAACAGUAAUUGCUUGAGAGAUUAUAUUCUAGGUGGAUUGGGGUUUGAAUAUAAAUGCUUAUUAACUACAGUAAGAAAUAGAACACAAACUCCUACAUUUGAUGAACUGGCUGAUAUGCUUUUAGGAGAAGAGUUACUUGUAAAAAGAAUUGAAGAAGAAAAUCAAGCUCAAGUAACUGUUGCUAUGGCUGCCUAUACUGGAUACAGAGGCCAGAGUACUAAUUACAGAGGAUAUAAUUCAAAUUACAGAGGUCAUAACCUUGGCUACAGAGGCAACAAUGUCAAUUAUAAUCUAAAUUACAAUCACAAUCCUAAUCAUUACUACAAUCCAAAUUACUAUCCAAACCACAACUAUAAAACCACAACCAUCCAAACUAAAACUAUCAACCACAAUAAAACUAUAAUUACAGACCUAGCUAUCAUCUCCAACCAAACUACAGACUACCUUAUUCAUAUCAACAAUAUCAGAAUAAUUACCCAAGGCCUUCACCACCACAAAAUCUUCAAAGACCACAACCACCACCAAACUUUAAAACACCAGCCUUUAUAGAUCAAUCCCAAAAUUGUCAAAUUUGUGACAAAAAUUAACAUCUUGCUAAACAAUAUCCUGAUUAUAAUAAUUUCUCAGCUCUAAGUACAACAGUAACAUCUAUACCUCAAUCAAUAUCCUACCCAAUAUCUCAACCAACAAUUCCUGAAUAUUCUGCAUUUCAACAUACAAACACUCCAGCAUAUAUAGAAAGUUAUCAGACACCACCAGAGAUGGCAAUGUCAGCUGCAACUACACAGGAUAACUCAUCCAGAAGGUGUCUAGACUCUGGGGCAUCCAGCCACAUGACACCUGAUCUCACAACCUUCACUGCUUAUGAAACAGCUCCAGGUACACAAUAUGUAAUUGUUGGGAGUGGUGACUAUUUACCAGUAAAAUACAGAGGGAUAGUAACUCUAAAAUUUAAAGGAAAGGACUAUAAAUUAGGAGUACUAUGUGUACCUGGGUUAAAGAAAAAUUUGAUGUCAAUUCAGAAAUUAUCUAAGGAUUUGAAUUGUAUAAUUGUUUUUAAUGAUAAAACUUUUUUGGUAAAGGACCAAGGCACUAUGGAGACAUUAUUUUCUGGCAGUAUCUCAGAAGGUCUAUACCACAUCUAUCCAGACAGUCAAGCCUGUUAUGGGGUGAGAGCUUCAAAAGAAAUGUGGCAUGACAGGUUAGGGCACCCAUCUGAGACAGUAAUGAAGCAAACUGAAUCUGAAUUACAAAUAAAAACUCAAGGAGGAAGGAGAACUGAUUUUUGUCCAAUAUGUCCAUUAGGGAAGAUUCAUCAAUUACCCUUUACAAGAAGGGAUGUAAUAGCUUUAGAACCACUAAAAACCUUACAUAUAGACCUUUGGGGUCCAUGCGAGCUCCUACAACUUCUGUAACAAAUUUUAGAUUUUAUAUCUCAAUUGUUAAUGAAUGCACAAGAUUUAUAUGGUUUUAUCCAAUAAGUAACAAAUCUGAUAUUUUUUCAUUUUUUGUCAAAUUUCACAAUCUUAUAGAGAGGUAUUUAGGUCAGAAAGUAAGAGAGGUUUAGACUGACCAAGGAGGGGAGUUUGUGAACUCUAGAUUCAACAUACUUAGAAGAGCAAGGAAUUAAUCAUAAGUUGUCAUGUGCAUACACUCCACAACAACAUGGAUUAGUAGAAAGAAGGCACAGACAGAUCUUAGAGGUAGGGAGAUGUUUAAUGAUCAAAGCAGGGAUACCAAGGGAAUACUGGCCAGAAGUAUUUUCCUCUGCAGUAUAUUUAAUAAAUAUAUUAAAAACACCCACCUUGGAAGGUAAGAGUCCAUUUGAAAUCCUAAUGAAAAGAUCUCCAGACUACUCAAUUUUGAAAACCUUAGGAUGUGAAUGCUACCCUCUACUACCAAGAGAAGGAAGAGAUAAACUAAUGCCUAAAUCUAAAAGAAGUGUAUUUUUGGAUUAUACUACACAACACAAAGGAUACAGGUGUUUAGAUAUUGAAAUAAAAAAGAUUAGGAUUUGCAGAAAUGUAGUGUUUAAUGAGAAUUCAUUUCCAUUUACUGAUUCUCUAAAAUCAGUAAAUACUCAAUCCAAACAAAAAAGACCUGUAGAACUGAUAUCUCAAAUAAGGGUACCAUUCACAAAAACAAUACAUCAUGUAGAUGAAUCAACCACUGAUGGUAGGAUUACUGAUAUGUCAAAUGAAAUAUAAAGCUUAGGUAGGAGUGAGUCUAAUUUUCCACCUAAUAGGGAUAUUAUUCAGAACAUACCAAACAAUCAAACCAGUUUGAAUGAAGUAGAGAGCUUAGGCAGGAAUCAUUAUGAUUCUCUGUCUAACAGAGACUUGAGUCUUGAUAGAUCAAUUCAGUCACAGUCAAGUUUAUAUAGGUCAAAUAAUGACAGUUUUGAACCAGAUCCAUCAACUGUCAUCCCAAAUACUGAGAUUAGGGUUAAUUUGGAAUUAAAUCCAAAUACAAACUCAUCUGCUCUUAAUAAUCCAAUUAAGAGUGCUCCUCCUAUUCAAGAUUUGAGAAGGUCGGUAAGAGAGAAAUUUCCAAAUGUGUUAUAUAAAAAUUAUGAUAUAUCUAAUAAUGUGACUAUUUCUAAUGAUAUUGUUGAGCCAAGAUGUUUCUCACAUGCUAAUAAGAAUAAAUGUUAGAAGGAAGCAAUGGAGGAGGAGAUGAAAGCAAUUAAAGAAAACAAUAUGUGGGUAUUGGUACCAAAAGAAGAUUAUAUGAAUGUGAUAGGGUCGAAAUGGGUGUAUAAAAUCAAAAGGAGGUCAGAUGGAAGCUUUGAGAGAUGUAAAGCCAGACUUGUGGCCCAAGGAUACAAUCAGGAGGAAGGGGUGGACUUUUAAUAUACAUAAAGUCCAGUGGUUAAAAUAUCAACUGUUAGAACUGUUCUUUCAAUUGCAAUAAGUCAUGGAUGGUCACUAAGACAACUUGAUGUGAGGAAUGCCUUUUUAAAUGGAAACCUUCAUGAGACAGUAUAUAUGAGGCAACCAAAGGGUCUUGAAGACAGAAAUAGAAUGGGAGAUGUGUGCCUACUUCAGAAGGCAUUAUAUGGACUGAAACAGGCUCGUAGGCCCUGGUAUCUUAGAUUGCACCAGUACUUAAUUUCAGAAGAAUUUAAGAAUUCAGAUGUUGAUGCAUCACUCUUUUACAAGGUUAAUGGUGGAUUUAAAUUGUUAAUAUUAAUUUAUGUGGAUGACAUUGUUAUUACAGGUUCACAUAAAGAAGAGAUAGAUAAAUUUAUAAAGAAGUUAUGUGAGACUUUCCAAUGCAAAGAUAUGGGUAAGCUCAGUUUCUUCUUUGGCAUUCAGUGCAUAUAUCAAGGAGAGAAUGUGGUAUUGUCCUAAGAGAAUUAUGUGAAAGACAUAUUGAAAAGGUUUGGCUAUGAUAAGUCAAUUCCAGUAAGAACACCUAUGACCUUAUCAACAAAACUACAUCAUGAUAUGAGGGACCCUUUGGAAGAUAUCACAGGAUAUAGAAGUAUGGUCGGAAGCCUGCAGUAUUUGUCCCUCACUAGACCUGAUCUAUCCUUUGCAAUCAAUCAGGUGUGUUAGUUUCUCCAAAAUCCUAAAGAAGGGCACUUAUUGGCAGUUAAAAGAAUUUUCAGAUAUUUACAAGGGACCACAAGCUUGGGAUUGAGAAUUACUAAAGGAUCAAGGGAUACUAUGAAUCUAAUUGCGUAUAUAGAUUCUGAUUGGGGAGGAUGACCAGAUAGAAGAUCAAUCACUGGAUGAAGUGUUUGGUAUGGAAAUAGCCUACUAUCAUGGUCUGCUAAAAAGCAACCAACAGUGUCAAACUCAAGUUCAGAGGCAGAAUUUAAGGCAAUAAUGGCUCAUGUCACAUCAGAGGUUAGAUGGUAUUGCUAUUUGUUUAGAGAGUUGGGGAUCAAACUAUUAUCACCUUCCAACUCUCCUAUGUUAUAGUCGAUCCGCAAUAUUCAUGGCCAAAAAUCCUACAAUUACAUCACGCUCAAGACAUAUAGAAAUAUCAUACUACUUUAUAAGUGAAUUAAUAAACAGAGGGGUACUUAAAAUCGAAAAUGUACCUACAAGCUUGCAGCUUGCAGAUGGAUUCACCAAGGUACUGGGUACCGAUGACUUCUUACGACCUCGCCAUCGCCACAAGUUAGUCCCAGUGCAGUCACCUCAAUCAGAGCCACCUAAUUCAAAUCUUACGCGAGGAAUCCCUCCAGAUUUGAGGGAGGAUGUAAAAUAUCAAGGAGAAGGCAGUCAUAGUCCAGCCACCUAAUUCUGAAUAUUUAGGAUUAGGAAUGCACGACCCGGAUCCGAUACCUGAAAACAAGGG
rnacentral:lncRNA from 1 species